rnacentral:rRNA from 1 species
UACGUAGGAGGCGAGCGUUGUCCGGAAUUACUGGGCGUAAAGCGCGUGUAGGCGGUGGGACAAGUCUGUUGUGAAAGCGCCUGGCUUAACCGGGCGAGGUCGACGGAAACUGUCCGACUGGAGGACGGUAGAGGGGGUGGAAUUCCCGGUGUAGUGGUGAAAUGCGUAGAGAUCGGGAGGAACACCUGUGGCGAAAGCGGCGCACUGGACCACAACUGACGCUGAGGCGCGAAAGCUAGGGGAGCAAACAGG